AGAUGGUCCUGACUCUGGGUGGAUCUAACAAGGAUCCUGGAACUCCAGGGGUAUGGCUUAAUUCUUAGCGGAUUCGAUCCUGGCUUUAAAUCAAGUCUCACAGGUUCUGCUUUUUGGAUUUACCGGGAACUUCCCAGUCCAGACGAUUGGAAUUACAGCAUUAUACUUUGACUGGUAUGAUCUUCUGCUUUCGGUAACCAUCCUGUAACAACAAAGCCACUGCUUCGAUACGUUUAGUUUCUGGAAUUAAAAUUUUAAUCUCUCCAUUUUUUAAUUUAAUUUCUGCCUCUAAGUUCUCCAGUAGAUCUCCCCUUAACAGGAGUUUAGGAGAAUUUGGCACGUACAAAAACUGCCGAGUGACCCGUUGCUUUCCUAAUUUCAUUGUUAAAGAUUUAAAGAAGGGUCUAGUUUCUCGUUCACUUGUUGCACCAACACCACCAAUUUCUUCAAAACUUAACUCUCCCUCUAAGGUAUUUAAAACUGAAAAGGUGACUCUAGCGUCAAUUCACAUUCAAUUUUCUGUUCUCCCAGUUUAGCUGUAACCAGAGCUUCUGCUGGGAGACUCCCCUCCGGUCCCCGUCAGCUACGUUCACUUAAAAAGAACAAAUCUACAUAUGGCACUUCAUUCCAUUUACUCUCUCUCCUACAAAACAACAGUAAUUGCAAUAUAGUAUUAUAACUCAAAGUUCUGUUUGUUUCCCAUUUUUCCUGCAAUUCACCCCAGUGUGCCAAUAAACAUCCCAACGGU